rnacentral:misc_RNA from 1 species
UACGUAGGGGGCAAGCGUUGUCCGGAAUUACUGGGCGUAAAGGGCGUGUAGGUGGGGAAUUAAGUCAUGGGUGUAAACUGAGGGCUCAACCUUCAGAUUGCCCAUGAAACUGGUUUUCUUGAGGGCAGGAGAGGAAAGUGGAAUUCCUAGUGUAGCGGUGAAAUGCGUAGAUAUUAGGAGGAACACCAGUGGCGAAGGCGACUUUCUGGACUGACCCUGACACUGAGGCGCGAAAGCCAGGGGAGCGAACGGG